UACCCUUUUAAAAAUGACUUUAAAAUAACUGAAUGAGGUGUGAGACAGUGGGUGCGAUGGUCCAUCUCUAGGUCGAUGGUCCGUCGGUCCUGACCAUCGCACCUGGGCAGAAUAGGGGUUCCCUGCCUCCCUUGCGACGGCAUUGGGAGAUGGUGUGUCGCUAGCUCGACGGUCCAUCGAACUGGGCCAUCGCUCUUAGUCAGACCGUGGUCUUACUACCUUACUGCGAUGGCAUGGGCGACAGUCCGUCGCUAGCUCGACGGUUGUACCUGGGCAGUUUGACUGCUUUCUGUAUUUCGGCCAUAACUUUCUCUUCCGAUGUUGGAUUUUGACGAAAUUGGUAUCUUUGAAAAGCUAAUUUAAUUUCUCACAUGACGAAAAGUGAAAAUAUUAAAAAUUUCACGUAUACAAAAGAAAUGGAUUCAUCCCUCAAAAUAAGUUCUAACAUUCUUGGAACGAUUUUAAGCUAGGCAGAAGUAUGGGGUAUUACAGAAUUUUAUUGGGAUAUAGGUAUUUAUUUGUGUUGCAAAGGAUGCUGGUCAAGUGAUUUGACAGGGGAAUAGUGAAGCAUGUUGUCGUUACUAAGCUCUCUAAUUCUUUCUCAACUAAUGGUGUCCUGGAUACUCAAGUUGGUUUCAUGUGUUUCCUUUAUCUAGGGUUGUGUAAGAUCUGCAAAUACUACCCUCCCCGGACCUCAGUUGUGGCUGUACCAGAUAAUUCUGCUCCUUGUGCUUCGUCAGCUAUCGAGUGAAACAGGCCAACACAAUAACAAAGAGAUUUCAAUCAACAUUAACUUGUACUCCAAAACUUUUUCUUGUGAUUUUUGAAAUGGUAAAAAGUUUGAUUACCAAGAUAGCUCCUGCCUCCUGGUAACAGGAACUGAUGAUUUCAUGAGCUUGUGAUUAUUUUUAAAAUUCAUAAAUACUAUCAAUAAUUUUUGGAUUGUGUAUGAUGUAUUUUUUGGUAUUACACCAGCUAUUACCAAGAUGUAUCUGAAAGUAUUUUUGUAAUAUUUUAUCUAUAUCAUACAUGUACAUGAAAAUGUCAUAUUCCCCAUGUUACUUUACACUUUAUCAAGUAAAUUGAUUGUCUUAGACUUUAUCUUCAUUACCAGUACAAACACUGUAAUAGAAAAUUGUAAAAGUUACCUAACUCUCAAUCCUUUUAGAGAUAAUUAUUCUCUAUCUCAAUUUAUUUUUCAUAAUUAUCAAAAAUUUCUGAUUUAAUACAUACGAAUAUAUCACAUU